UACCAGUGAGAACAUACUAAACAAUUUUAAAUGUUCCUUUUAAAAUAAAAUUGCAAUAGGAAACUUGCUUACAGGAAAGAUACAUUGUGUUUACAUAUACUGAUGUUUGCUAUAAUUCUCUAGAUGAAUAGGUAAAUUUUCCAGUGCCAUGUUAGUGUGUGAGAUGAAUAUAUAAUUUACCAGAAUUAAUUUUAAUUUUUACUCUUAAUACCAGCAAGAGUUUUUCAUCAAAAGGAUGGUAGAAUACAAAUUUCAUUUAGAUUGUAUGGGAAAUAUUUUUACAUCUGAUGAAUAAAACUGCCUAGCAGAACAAUUUUACAUAGUUUUAUUGUGGUAUCAAUAGAUAAUUAAGCCCAGUCUUAAAAAUAUGACAAUUUAUGUAAUUCAUUCCAAAUAAAAUCUUUAAACUAGCAUGUAUAAUGAUGUCUUUUGUCCUUACCCCUAUCCUGGUACAUUUUUAAAGUUUAUGUUCUUGUUCUGUAGUAGCAAUUAUAUUCCAUUGUAACUUUUAAUAGAUGAUGGUUUAGAGUCUAACGUUUUCCCAUUCUUUCAGUCUCAGUUUUGAAGAGGAAACAACUAUAGAUAAUGUAUAAAUAGUAAGCUGAGGUAUGACUAUUGAUUCUAUCCUCAGCAUAGGAUGUUUAGCCCAUUCUUUUUCUGUUGAAUUCUAGUGGUGCUUAUUAUAACUUGUAAAAAAAAAAAAAAAAAAAAAAAAAAAAAAAAAAAAAAAAAAAAAAAAAAAAAAAAAAAAAAGGAAGCAAUGAGAAAAGAAUAAAACAAAGAACAAAAAGAAAACUAAAGAUGCAUUCUGCUGUUUAGGGAGCAGUGUUAGGUAUCUCUCUGAAAGGACUUGAAGAGUAGUGAUGGUAAUGAUGCGUUCAUAAUGACAUGGAGAGACCCUUUCCUUCGAGAUGUCUUGCUAAACUUUGAAUUCAUGACAGUGUAUACCUGAAGUAAUAUUUCUUCUGGCUAUCUGGAAUUUAUUUAUUUACUUAAAAUUUGAAGUCAGAAGAUUUCAAGUACUUAAAAUAUUUUUUUCUUUCUGAAAGAAGGAUACUUUAAAAAUCUUGUCUACAAGUCUGGACUGAUUAAAACAACUCGUUUUCAGGAAUAAUCUUACUACUUUAAAGUUGUUGGUGCCCUUUAAAUUCUUGCUACCCUUUGGCCUCAAAACAGAAAGAUAAAUACUUGAUAAUGUUAUCAUUAGUAAUAAAAAUUAAGGGGAGUGGAAUGGAGGAGAUUAGGUAUUGGAGCACCUUUACUAAGAUUCAGUUAGUGUGGAUUCCUUCAUUAAAAUACCAAAAUGUGUAAAGCAGUAUUGUUUCCUAUCAAAGUCUUAAAGGUGUUCAAAUGUCACGUGGGCUCUUAAAAGAGUAAAGACUCUGUGGGCUGUAUGCCUAGCCCUAUACGCUGUUCAGGGAAGAAUGUCUACACACAGUCAGAAACUCUGCCCACGGGCUCAUUGUUCUAACUGGUAGAUGUUUAUUGUAAACUCUGGAAGGAGAAGGUAUGUGCUGCCUUCAGGAUACAGUUGCUGUGCUGUCCUAUACAUUUUCAAUUUUAUUUCAUUUUUAAAAAGUAACUUUAUAUACUAGAUAUUGAAGCAAUAUGUUUUUAAUGUAUUAGUGAAACAGUUUUCAAGAUGAGUGAUUAAAUAUAGACAGAAAUAAUCUUGUAAAAAUUAAUCCCUCUUAAAUCAGUUUAUCAAAAUGGAGGCCUGAUUGGGAGAGUGGUGUGUUGGUAGUUAUAUUUAGUUGUUUUUUUUGUGCUUUAAAAAUUUUAUUAGUGGUCAUCUAUAAUUGCCUCCCUAUUUACAAAACAGCAUCUUUUUACUCAAUCUCAGCCAAAUUAAGGCCUAAUAAGAGACAGUCUAGGGUGGUGGCUAAAAGCAUGGCCUUUCAGUAGCUCUGUGACCUAGAAUUGUAAAUGUACUUCAUAGCCAUGUUAUAAAGAUGGAAUACAGUGCAUAGAAAGCUCUUAGCUCAAUGCCUGGCACAUAAUAAAUGCUCAGGAUAUUGGCUGCUAUCACUAUUAUUGAUGUUGCUGCUUUGUAAUUUGUUUAAAUUUUAAAAAGAAAGAUCCAUGUUUUCCUGAAUAGAAAAAGUGUCUUUCGAAAUGAAUAGAAGACAUGACAUUAUUAGGAAUUUAAUUCUGGUGUUUUCUAAUACAUUAAGUUUUGCCGCCUUAAUGUAUUAGAAAUCAUAUUUUAUGUAACAAAGUAGUAGCUUUACAAACACUCCAGGUAAUUUUAAGAUCACAUACUUUCUACUAUAUUUGGAAUUUACAGAGUAAGAGAAUGCCCUCAGAAAGUGGCUUCAUGCCUCUCCGAUUUGCUAGAAUAUUUUAAUAUUUUUCCUCUAAUCUGUUUCUCAAGAGGCACUAUGACCUGAGUUGAAAGCGUGACCAGAUGCUUCCAUUUACCAGUGGUUUGAUUUUGGGCAAGUGGCUUAAUUUGUAGGGAUUUAGAUUUCAUUAUUUUUAACCUGUAGGGUCUGAGGCUAAAUGGUUUCUAAGGUUUCUUUCAUUCUAAAAAUCUGUUUCCAAAAAAUAAUUCCUCAGUUUUCCAGGUGGCACAACUCACCCUUAUCUGCUAAUGAAGAAAUAAUACACAACAGUAGAUUCAUAGCUCAUGGCAAUAUGGCUUUCUAGUCUAUUGAGGAGCGUUGUAUGGCUGAAGACCUUCAGAAAAUUUAUGUCCUUUCAUGAUCUGCAGAAUUGGUCAUUUGUGUUUUCUUUUUUGAGAAGAACAGAGUGUGCCCAGGAUAGCAAAUUUGGCGUUCUGGGUUUAUUUAGUGCAUUUGGGAAAUUGAAGAAAUCACUGCACAUUUGGCUCUUUGUGCUAUUGAAUGAGCUAGAUUUGAUGUCAGAAAAGCCAUAAGCAAUGCAGUCCUUGCACUCUUGUUGAUAAACAUGUCCCCAGAUAUUGAUGAGAGGUUUAUGAUUUUUAGACAGAAAUCAUAUACCUGCAUUUCAGGUCAUGCUGUCACAAAUUCAUCCUAAAGAGUUAUAGAUCUACUGAUACUCCAUGCCACCUUCUAAACUAUAUGUGAAUGGAACACAAAGCAACUGGAAAAUUCCACCAUGACUGACUUGAGGGCUUAGCAGCUAUUCAUCACUGAUCAAGUAGGUUUAGACAGCAACACUGAAUUGGGUAAAAAUUGACUCCCAGACUUCACAGGGAUCUUCAGUAGAGAUACUGUGUGGAAAUGCAAGUAAGUAGGUAACAUCUGGGUGAGUUUGCUGAAAUGAGGAGAAACCUAUAGCAAAAGAGUAAAAUGUUUGUGCCAUAUUAGUUUAUCAUGAGUUAAAAGCCAAUCCUAAGGGAGACUGUCAACUAGCUAAUAAGCCUUUUAUAUACAUGUAAUAUAUUUUGGCAAAAAAUGUUCUUUUUUGCUUAUUGGAAAUUUUUGUUUGUUUAAGAGCAUUUGGAUAUUUUGAAUCUAAAGCGUAGUAAAGUGAUUAUUAUAUCCUACCAGAUACUCUUUUGAUGUUGAUAUAGAUACUUUGCUUUUAUAUUCAGUAAUAUUUUAUCACAGUUAAAAGAUUUCAUCAUAACUCUAGUGUGUUUUAGUGAUUCAGCUCAGCUCAGUCUUGAUUUUAGCUAGAAACCCAGGUGAAUCUCCAUUUUCCUGUUUUCAGAUGUAAUGUUUAACCAUAACAGAAGCUGAUUUUUAAACCAGUAACUUCUUCACCUUCCCAUCCCCACUUCUUUUUAUUAAAUUUUAAAAAUGUAACCUGGUUUUGUUGUAUACUUAAGUCAGGAGUCCUUUCUCCAUUCUGUACACAGUUACUAGUUUUUUGAGUGAUGUAUAUACAAGUCGAUUAAACUUCUUACAGCAUAAAGAGAGAAAGUUAAAACUUAAUUUGGAGGGCAUACUCGUAGACCUUGCCGGACUGUGCUCAUGGCCAGGCAGGGGGGACAGUGUAUGCAAGAAUAAUUUGGAGUUCCUGCCAGCUCUAACCAGCUUCAUCAGUGGCUGGAUAAAUUGCAGGACUCUUAACAUUUCCCUGAAAAAAAAAAAAAAAAAGAAAACUUAAUUUGGGAAUGGUUCUAAUGGAAAAACCUCUACUUAGAGUAUGGAUUUUGAUUUUUUUUUUUUUUUUAAAUAAAAAAUAUUUUGGGCUGGGCAUAGUGGCUUAUACCUAUAAUCCAAGCACUUCGGGAGGCCACAGUGGACAGAUCGCUUGAGGCCAGGAGUUUGAAACCAGCCUGACCAACGUAGCGAAACUUUGUCUCUAUUAAAAAGACAAAAAAAUUAGUCAAGCUUGGUAGCAGGUGCUGCUUGGGAGGAUAAGGCGUGAGAAUUGCUUGAACCUGGGAAGAGUGGUUGCAGUGAGCCAAGAUCACACUACUGCACUCCAGCCUGGUCAAUAGAGUGAGAAUUUGUUUCAAAAAAAAUUUUUUUUUACAGGUGAUGCAACUUGAUAAUAAAUACUUGUUUUUUUUUUUUUUUAUGGCAAUAAUGGAAAGAUAGACAAUGUCAUAGGAAGGGCGUUUGAGGCAGAAGGAACAAAAUGAACAAAGGCAUGGAAGGAUGGCUUAUAUAGGGACUCAUGGAAUAAUGUGCUAUGACUAGGAGCUUUCAGUGUUUGGAAGUUAGGUUGGAUCCAGUUAUUUUUUAAAAAGCAUGUAUUAAAGCUAAAAAUAUUACUGGGGAACCACCUAAGUUUGUGGUUUAGUUUGUUUGCUUGUUUUUGUUUUUUAAAGCAGAACAAAUUUAUGUGAUUUAGAUUAUCAUCUUAGGAAUUUUGCUCUAGUGGCUGUGAAGGAUAACUUGAAGGAGGAGUAAUAGUUGGUUUCUUUCUGAAACACUGUAAUCGAAUGGCUGAGGCACUUCCAGUUGGAUCAUAGUAGAUGGGAUUAGUAGAAUUCUUGCCAGAGUGCAAGGUUGUGGAACUGCAGAUUAUUGCUAAUAGCUUCAGGGAUCAAAAAAACUUUUUUUCAACCUACAGGAUAGCAAAUAUCUUAGGUUUGCAGACAUUAUGUUCUCUCUUGCCCAUGAGAGAACUAACUUAUUCUGCCAUUGCAGCUCUAAAGUAGAGAUGGGCAAUAUGUAAAUGAAUGUGCAUGACUGUUCCAAUAAAACUUAUUUAUGAAAACAUACGGCCAUCGCAGGCCAGUUUGCCAACCCCGCUUUUAAACCUUAAUGAGAAGAGAAUCAGAGGCAGCAAGAGGAAAGAGAUUUCUGAAGGAAUAUUACAGAAGCACGAAAAUAGGGAGGAAAUGACAGUGGAAAGGGGCGGGACAUUAAGGGGUGGAGGAAAACCCUAUGGAGAGAUUCUAUUUUAAAAGAGCCUGUAGGAAUCUAAACACUGAUGUUAAGAAAUUAAAUUUUUGGGGUUGUGUUAAUGGUAUUGUGGUUUUGUUCUUUUAAGGUAUUCUUAGUGUUUGGAGAUCUGCACUGAAAUAUUUGUGAAUGAAAUGAUAGGGUAUCUGGAAUUUGCUUCAUAAUAAUCUAUUGGAGUUGUCAGAGGAGAGGAACAGCUGAAAAAAAUUGGCCUCAAGUCAGUAAUUGUCCAACACUGAGUGAUGGAUACUUUGGGAUUUAAUGAGUUAUUAAUCUCUCUGCUCCUGAAUAUUCCUUAAAACUUCCAUAAUAAAAGUUGUUUUAGUAAAAGACUUGGAUUUGGGGGUUAACCUCAGAGUGAGUUCCAAAGAGUGAUUGGAGAGGAAGAUGGAUUGCAGAGGGUGGAUGGUAGAUGAGAGAAGGAGUUUGUGUCCUAGUGAAGAGGAGGGGGGAUAUGAAGGGAAAAGAAGGUAGGAGAAUUCAGUGGCUUCUCAAGGGGUAGAGAGAGACUCAGGGGAUGGGAGUUUUAGAGGAAGUUCAAAGAGGACACAGAAUGGAUGGGUUUAAAAGCAGGUAUGUGGUCGCUCUUCACCUUACGGACAUUUCGUUUUAUUCCUAUAGACAAAUAAAUCCAGAAUCAUGCAAUGAAAGGCAGUUUCCCACAAAGUAAAGAAAUAUGUGGUGGAUUUAUAUUAAAACCUGUUUGUCUGCUUGUAGAUGUUUGGGCAUUUGUCACAA